rnacentral:rRNA from 1 species
CCUACGGGUGACAGCAGUGAGGAAUAUUGGUCAAUGGUCGGGAGACUGAACCAGCCAAGCCGCGUGAGGGAUGACGGUACAGAGUAUCGUAACCCUCUUUUGUCAGGGGACCAAGUCGGGGACGUGUCCCCGGAUGAGUGUACCUGAAGAAAAAGCAUCGGCUAACUCCGUGCAAGCAGCAGCGGUAAUACGGAGGAUGCGAGCGUUAUCCGGAUUUCUUGGGUUUAAGAGGUGCGCAGGCGGUCUGUAAAGUCAGCGGUCAAAGCCCGGGGAUCACCCCCGGCCCGCCGUUGAAACUGGCAGUCUCGAGUUGGAGAGAAGUAUGCGGAAUGCGCGGUGGAGCGGUGAAAUGCAUAGAUAUCGCGCAGAACUCCGAUUGCGAAGGCAGCAUGCCGGCUCCACACUGACGCUGAGGCACGAAAGCGUGGGUAUCGAACAGGAUUAGAUACCCGGGUAGUC